rnacentral:lncRNA from 1 species
UACAAGCACUGAACAGUUGCACAACAAAGGGUAAAAUAGUCCAUUAUAGAUCAAAAAUCUCUCGCACAUGUCCACAUGACACAACCUUUAUUUACAAGCCUAAAGAGGCCACCAACCCAACUAAAAUGGGACUAUUAAGCCUUCGGCCGCCCCUCUACAUGUUGUACAAGGCAUGAACAUGCCAAAAGACACGGACAUACAUAAGCAUUACAUCAAACAUCUUGUUUAGAAGUUUGUCCGUGACAACGUGACGACCGCAGCUACAUCCCCGCAUCCUCACAGCAACCCUUCAUUCCCAUAGUGUUGCCACCGACUGCGUCACAACAGCAGCACCAAGUAGGGCAGUGAUUGAUGUCCUUGACCAACACCAAAAAUAGGAGUUGAGAUUACAGAUUUGCAGUCUUACAAAAUGGCCACCGAUAACUCAGUAAAAGCACAAAUGGAAGCAUUGGAAAUUAGAAUUGAGAACCGACUAUAAGAAACACUUAAUGAUUUCAAAAAGAGCCUACUGGAGAGCCUCAGCAAAUUUCAACAAAAUGGGAGCUCAAGUUCUACAUUGUACAGAUAUGAAAAUACUAGAAAA